rnacentral:rRNA from 1 species
GUGCCAGCCGCCGCGGUAAUACGAAGGGGGCUAGCGUUGCUCGGAAUUACUGGGCGUAAAGGGCGCGUAGGCGGCUCUGUUAGUCAGGCGUGAAAUUCCUGGGCUCAACCUGGGGACUGCGCUUGAUACGGCGGGGCUUGAGGACGGAAGAGGCUCGCGGAAUUCCCAGUGUAGAGGUGAAAUUCGUAGAUAUUGGGAAGAACACCGGUGGCGAAGGCGGCGAGCUGGUCCGUUACUGACGCUGAGGCGCGACAGCGUGGGGAGCAAACAGGAUUAGAAACCCCUGUAGUCC